GUAGGUGGCAAGCGUUGUCCGGAAUUAUUGGGCGUAAAGCGCGCGCAGGUGGUUCGUUUAAGUCUGAUGUGAAAGACCCCCGGGCUCAACCCGGGGAGGGUCAUUGGAAACUCGGGGAACUUGAGUGCAGGAGAGGAAAGUGGAAUUCCACGUGUAGCGGUGAAAUGCGUAGAUAUGUGGAGGAACACCAGUGGCGAAGGCGACUUUCUGGCCUGUAACUGACACUGAGGCGCGAAAGCGUGGGGAGCAAACAGGAUUAGAUACCCUGGUAGUCCACGCCGUAAACGAUGAGUGCUAAGUGUUCGGGGGGGUUUCCGCCCCUCAGUGCUGCAGCUAACGCAUUAAGCACUCCGCCUGGGGAGUACGGUCGCAAAGACUG
rnacentral:rRNA from 1 species